CAGCUUGUGGAUUUUAUUCUGGCCACAAAACACAGGCACAGCUUGGGAUACCCAUGUGGUUGUGCCGUGGGAGCAGAGUGUGUGCUGCUGUCUUCACACAAUCAAAGCUUAGCAAGAGCCUGUGCUGACCCUCUGUUGGUUAAAACCUGGCUUUGUAUCAUGGGGAAUAUCUUUGAAUUUCUACAAAGAGGUGAUUUACAUUCUUAGAUAAAGUCCAGGCAUUUCCAAUAACGUCGGGAUAAGUGGAGCACUGUUUUCUCUGCAGCUGAAGCUUGGAGACUCUGUGUGAAUUCAUCUCUGUUUUACUGCCCAUGUUUCAGGGCAGCUUGCUUUUAUGCAGUGAAUAUUGGUAGAUCUCAAAGAAAUAUAGCCCUGGAUUUUAUUACCAAUGAAGGGAAUGCCUGCCAGUGGCGUGGCAGA